UACAUCACAAAGCUUCAAAAUCUUUGGUCAAAUCUCGAAACCCAAUUCGACCCCCAACACUUUAACGCUGCAACAAUUAUCUUCUUAGGCGAUUACUGUGACAGAGGCCCAGAUACCAAGAAAGUCCUAGAUUUCUUGAUAGACUUACCUUCAAGGUAUCCAAAUCAAAAGCAUGUGUUUCUUUCGGGAAAUCAUGACUUUGCUUUUGCUGCUUUCGUUGGUGUCCUGCCUGAGCCGCAAAAUGGGGUGUCAUUUAAGGAAGGAUGGAAGGAGUAUGAAGAGAGUGAGGACAGGGAAGGGUGGUAUAAAGGAGACGGGUAUGAGAAUAUGCAUUUGCAAGGGAGAAGGUGGGCUGGUCAUAUUAAGGAGAGAUUCAAUACCAUUAAAGGGACUGAAUAUAAGGGCUCUAUUUAUGAUGCUGGUCCCACUUUCGCUUCCUACGGUGUCCCUCAUGGAUCUUCUGGUAUGUCUUGUUUUCUUUUAGUCUUUCAUUGAUCGAAGUUUUAAUUAUCAAUAGCUUAAUCACGUCUCCAUGUUUGUAUGGAAAUGUAUAGCUGUUGUUUGGUUUUUUAGUUGUUAAAUAUGAAAUAGGCUAUUGUUGUCUAGCAGUUUUGAACUGAGUUGAUUGUGUUUGAGUUGUUUGAUUCUUAGUUUUUUAAUGUAAGAGGGUAAAAAUAAUAUAUUUUGGAUUAGUAUAAUCAUUAAUGGAGCAUUGAAAUCUUUAGAUUCUUGCAUUUUUUACACUUGAGAUGGUUCUGAAUUCAAUACAAUUAAUAGUGUGAUUUAUUGGUGUAAAUUUUUGUAUCGAGACAGACUUAUUGAAGGCAGUUCCUGAUGAUCACAAGAAGUUUCUAGCUGAUAUGGUUUGGGUCCAUGAAGAGGUGAAGUUUAUUUCAUUGCCAUCUUAAUCGAUUAGAAGUUUGAUCAAUGAUGAUUUAGUGUUAUGGUGUGAGUUGCCAGAAAAGAAAGAUGAUCAACUGAGUAUAUUACAUAACGCGAGUUCCAUAAUUUGUAGUUUGAUUUGAUCAGUAGGGACAAUGGAUGAAGCUUGGUGCGUUUCAUAAUGUGCAAUUUUCUGUCAAAAAACCCAACCCAAAAGCAUAAGCUAUCAAGUGAAGCCCUGAUAAUGGUUUUAUAUUAUUACCCGGUAACUUAUUUUAUUUGUUAGAAAAGGAUGGUAAGAUUUGAACUCAUAAUUACCAUGUGAGAUUUGAAUUCAUAACCAUUUGGUUAUGAAAACCUUGAAAUCAUAUCAAAUAAUUAUCUCAACCUCAAAGUUUAAGCCAUCAACUCAAAAACUUAAGAUAUCAAUUAAAAAACUUAAGCUAUUAAGUGAAGCACAAAAAUAAUUUUAUAUUACUCUCUUAACAUUUUCUUUUCCAGGAUGAUGUGUGCAUAGAGGAUGAAGAAGGAAUUAGACACUGUAAAUUGAUUGCCGCGCAUGCUGGUUUAGAGGAAGGGAAAAAUGUAGGCGAACAACUGAGAUUUUUGAAAGCUAAGGAGACUCAUGUCCCCAAGAUACAGGCUCUUAGUGGGAGGAAAACAGUUUGGGAUAUACCAAAGGUGAUGGCUCGAUACCUACUUUUAAUUUUUUUAUCUGAAACUUUUUAUCCUAAUCUACCAAUUUCUCCACCCACUUACUUUCUUUAGUGGGAAAAGACUCGGAUGUUCACAGCUUCACACAUUCAAGACAUUAUAUAUCACUGUUCUUUUAUAUAUAUAUAACUGAAGUGUGGAUGUUUGAUGUUUGCUGUUUAAUUUCACAUAGGAAUUAACUGAGAAACCGAUCAUUGUGGUUAGCGGCCACCACGGGAAACUUCAUAUUGAUGGUCUUAGAUUGAUUAUUGAUGAAGGUGGUGGAUUUGAGAAUAAACCAGUGGCUGCAAUUGCGCUUCCCUCGAUGAAGCUUGUUCGUGAUACUGAUAAUUUGACAAAAUAGCUUGGAGUAUAUUAUAGAUUGAUGCAAGUGUCCACAAUCUUUCCAGAUUUAGCCUAGCAUACACAUCCAGGCAUGUAAUCUGACUGUUACAUUGUUGGUUGCAUAUCCUGAGCAAUCGUUUCAGUACUGGCCUUGGACGUUCUUCUCAUUGCUUUUCUCCCCCUCACCCUGUGACGGGGGAUGCUUGGUUUUAUCAAAUGUCGUAUCUAAUAUUGUAGAAAUUUCUUGGGGAAUAUCAAUAAAAUGGGCUUGUGUCCAUGAUAAUUGUCUUGUGGAAAUUGUCCAAUACAUUGAAUUUAGUUUCAUUCUGUUUUUUUUUUCCUUGAGAAAAAUAACGAAAAUGCUGACGGGAAACUUGCAUGACUGUCAGCUUCUACUGAUUUCUAAAAUGAGAGCUAAGAGGCUGGCCUUCAUUUAUGUUGGGGUAUACACACAAAAGCAGAUUAAUCAUACCAGUUUUUCAUUAGCAAAUGUCAAAAAUGGUCGAGUGCAUGAAUGAUUUGUAUCCUGUUCAAAAAGAUUGGUUAAACUGACAUGAACCUAACCAACUGGUUCUGUAGAAAUGGAGUCUCGGCCAUACCAAAUAUCAAGUUUUCUGUAACUGGUCUUCAUAAAAUCUGCAGAUGCAAUGUUUUCAGGGUCCAUAACAUCAAGCUGUUAAAAAACCACAUAAUCAGAGACCAGACCGUUUCAGUUUCUCAAUAGCUCGAAGACCUCUCUUUUCAUCUCUAGCUGUUAGCAUUCACAGUUUAAUGUUGACUAAGUAGAACAACAGUCUAUUUCUGACAUUUUAAUGAGAGCACGGCAGAAAAUGGAUCUUUCCUAGUUUCUAGUCCUGCAUGUUUCAGACGACUUUGGAUCAAAUGGCAUUGAUACCAUAGAGAUGCCAUCAGAAAGGGAUGGCAUAGAGAUGUGUGGAGAGAGAAGUGUGGUAUGGAUGGCAUAGAGAUCCCAUCAGAAAGGGAUCUGAAAAUUCAAAAGUGUGGUGUGGAAUUUACAUGUGAAUGCUAGGAAAUUCAGAGCAAAACUAUUUAAUCUUGUCCACAUGUCAUAGAAAAUGUCAGUGCUUAGAAGAAAAUAAGCAACUUCGUACUGUAAGAGCUGUCUGGGCCUUCUGAAAAUUCAUGCUUGUUUCGAAACGGUCCAAAUAGACAGAAAAAUCAAGGAAAACUAAUGAUAGCUGCACAGAAACAAAUACAAAAUUAAAUUAUGAUAACCCAUGGUGAUAAUAAUAAUUUUUUAAAUUUUAUUUUUAAAAUUAAUACAUUAAAACAAUCUAAAAAUAUAAAAAAUAACUGAAACUCCAAGAUUAUGAAAACCCUUUUUUUCUUAGUUUUGGUAAUACCAAAUUGUUGUCACACUAGUAUAAUAGAGGUAAAAGGUGGAGGCUGAGAAACUACCCACCCGGCAUCUUCGGUAGAAAAUGAAGUAUCUUUUUUGCUCGAAGAUGAAAAAAAUAAUAAUCAUAGUCUUAAUCUAAUUAAAAAAUAUAUCAGAGAACUUAGAGUACAUGGAUGAUAAACAGAUGCAUGAUGCAUAAAAAUGGCCUGUCUUGCCAUAUCUUUUGAUUGAUUCGAUCAUUCUAUGCUAAAUUUCUUUAAACUACUCCAAAAACUACCUGGAAUCUUUCGCUAAUGUCCAUAUAAAUCUCCAUUGUGAUCGUUGAUGAUUUCUUAAUCUUAUGCUGAUAGAAACAGAAACAAAGUGUGAAACAUCUAAGAACACUUCGGAUUGUCUUGCUUGUUCGCGUAAAACUAUCGCAGUACUAACAGAGAUGGAUUCAUUCAACUAUUAAUACAAACAUCCAGAUUGUUAUAUGUUAAGUUUGCUCCUCUUGUCAUUUUUAGAUUACAGUGAAUCAUUUUUAGUUCGUUCAGUAGCUGCAUGAGGUUGGCUUCAUAUUCUCCUGAGUAGCGACUAGCAGGCUAGCAUCAACUCUUUUUCAUAGGCUUGAUAUAAGGAGUUCAUGACACGCACACCCAUCAACCCCAACACUUGAUCUAUAACCUGUAAUCCUAGCCAUCACCAAUGUUGUCCUGCAUCAUUCCCGAGUUUAUUUCGCCAGCUCACAAUCCUAAAGAACUUCAUAUCAAGCAUGAGUAUAUACCAAUCUAAUACAUAUGGAUACAUUUAUUUAAAGACAUGGGCCUUAAGACACAAAUCUUGAGAGAUAGGAGGGAAAGAAUUUCAUAUGCUUCGGUUAUAGGAUCUAUCAAUUUAAGCAUAAUGAUUAUAUACCAAUUUAAUCCUUGUAAAGGUCAUAGAUUGAUAGUUAAAAACAGUAUUAAGUAAUUAAGAAUGUGUUUCUUGUCCAUGUAAGAGAUGAUCUUGUAAUUCAUUAUUAUUUGAAUUCUAGUUUUCAAUCGGGGAUUGAUGCUAACAAAUCCUAAUUUGGGUAUAUUUUACUUUGAAUGAUGGUGCUAUAAGUUGUAAGAGUUUCAAAUAAGAAACUACAACAAAUUUUAUAACUAAAACUAAAUAUAUCUAUGUGUCUAAGCCAACAAAAAUGUCGUUUGGAUCAAUAAGUUUAUCACUAAAUUAGAUGUGAUUCUUUACAUUAUUAAUCUAGUAACUUUGUAUUGUGAUUACAAUUGAGCUAUUAUAUUAGCAAAGAAACUAAUGUCUUAUUAAUAAUCUAAACAUGUAUUUAGACGAUUUCAUUAAUAAUCUCAAAUGUAACAUUGCGAUGUAUAAUUAUUCUUGGUACAUGGUAAAACACUAAGCCUCCUUUUUUUUUUCUUUUAAUUUUAAUUGCUACUCCUUGAUAAUCAGAUCGGGUAAAAAAAAACGUGGUUAAUUACAAAGUGCAAUAAGCAGCGUCAAAAAUAUUUUUAAAGGUUCACUAAGUUGUGAUUGGUUGGUCGUGAUCUAACAAAAAACAAUCAAUCUUUGUGUUUAUGAAUUUCAUUUGAUUAGAGGAGCUCCAUUAAGUUGUUUUUGAUCAUUUAUGUAUCUUGCUUGAAAAAUAUAGAUAAGAGCUUGAGUUUUUUUGAAUGCAAUGAGAUUUUUCAGUUCUUUGACAUAUUAAAGGCUCAUUUGAAGUUAGAUACGGAUUUAUUGAGAUUUAUGGAUUAUGUAUUUGGGGUUUUUAGGUGAAAAAAAUGGUUAAAAAAUGGUUUUCAUAGUCAAAUAAGGCAAAUCUCAACUUCUUAGUCAUCUCUAAGUGGUCAAAAAAUUAUACUAGCAAAUAUGUUGUCUUUCAUUGCAAAUGACAUGUCAUUUUAUUUGUUUUUUAAAAGGAUGGAGGAUGCAUUAAGAAAAAUGGCCAAACACAUGGUCUUGCCUCGUGCCUCUUUUAUCAUGUGCUAGACGCAUUUGUCCCCGAGCUUAGUUGCCUAUACUUUUUUUUUUUGUUAAACUUUUUAUAUAUAAAAAAUUAAUCCAAAAUGUUGUUGUCUCAAUAUAUAUUUUUUAAAAAGUUCAAAUAACAUAAAGUUAAAUAGGUCACUUUAAAAUGACUGAAACAUGGUUUGAUUUUAAAUUCAAACAAAGUAAGAGGUUUGGUCAAGGGGUCUCUAGAUUGAAUUAUAGGGUUAAAUUUACUAACAUUGUCUAGAAAAUCUCUCAUGAUAAAACGUAUAUAUUUUUAUAUUUUGAAUUCAUUAACAUCUAAGUUAUCAAAAUAUUAUUAUUUUUAAUUAAAAAUUACUAUGAUUAUUAUAGGAUGUUGUUUGGGUAACAAAUUUUAGGUUUGUUAUUAUACAUAUCAUUCACGUUGUUUGCUCUCAAUAUUCUCAGAAAUUGACAACAACAAUGAUACCAUGUAUAUAAAUUGAGAUUUGAAUGUAAUGGCAGUAAUCACUACAUAAAUAGAAAUUAACCGCAACAAUGGUAACUAUUAUAUAAAUAAAAAUUAACCGCAACAACAAAGAUAAUUAUGCAUAAAUUGUAUUUAUUAACAAUGAUUGACCUUGUGACACAAUGUUUAUGAGUCGGCAAAUGAGUAGGGGCUACUAAUCAGGUGUUUAUUGAAUUGGAUCACAUGAUUAUUGAUCCUGUAUUUAUAAUCCAUGGGAGCUACAUGAGUGGAGAUAUAAUUUGGAAAUUAUUUAAGUCGGCUCAAGAAGAGGACUAGUGUUAAAAUCAAACAUGGUGUAAAAAUUGUUACAGGCCAAGAAACCAAAUGAUAAGCAAGUCAAGCAUAUAAAGUAUAUCAGAAUUAAAUUAAUAGCAAUGGUAAAAUUAAUAUUACGAGAACAUAAUAACUUUAUAUAAAAUUACAAACUAAAUUAUCAAUAAAAUUAUUAAUAAAUAAUAAAAUUAAAAAAAUAAAACAAUUAAAACUGAGAUAAAUUCAUAUAAAAUAAAAGAUAAGAAAAUGAAAAAGCAUAAUCAACCAAUACAAAUGGCAACGGGAAGAGUCGUUAUCAGCCAGCCAAGAAGGCAAGAUGAACUUCUCUUUCAAGCUCUAGCUAGAACAAAAAUCAAGCACUAAACCAGACCAAUACUAAUAUACGUACCCAAAAGCAUUCUCUUUAUCAAUCGAAGAACAGAACAGAACCACCACGGAACCCAAAAUGACAGAGGCAGAGCCAAGCAACAACAGCACGGUCGCAAAACCCAGAUUAGUAAUCUGCAUAGGCGACAUCCAUGGCCACAUCACAAAGCUUCAAAAUCUUUGGUCAAAUCUCGAAACCCAAUUCGACCCCCAACACUUUAACGCUGCAACAAUUAUCUUCUUAGGCGAUUACUGUGACAGAGGCCCAGAUACCAAGAAAGUCCUAGAUUUCUUGAUAGACUUACCUUCAAGGUAUCCAAAUCAAAAGCAUGUGUUUCUUUCGGGAAAUCAUGACUUUGCUUUUGCUGCUUUUGUUGGUGUCCUGCCUGAGCCGCAAAAUGGGGUGUCAUUUAAGGAAGGAUGGAAGGAGUAUGAAGAGAGUGAGGACAGGGAAGGGUGGUAUAAAGGAGACGGGUAUGAG
rnacentral:lncRNA from 1 species